UACAUAGGGUGCAAGCGUUAAUCGGAAUUACUGGGCGUAAAGGGUGCGCAGGCGGCUUGGAAAGAACGGUGUGAAAUCCCGGGGCUCAACCCCGGAACUGCACUAUUAACUAUCAAGCUAGAGUAUGUCAGAGGGGGGUGGAAUUCCGCGUGUAGCAGUGAAAUGCGUAGAUAUGCGGAGGAACACCAAUGGCGAAGGCAGCCCCCUGGGAUAAUACUGACGCUCAGGCACGAAAGCGUGGGUAGCAAACAGG
rnacentral:rRNA from 1 species